rnacentral:lncRNA from 1 species
AAAAAUAAUUUUUCAGAUUAGAAAAUCGUUUAGAAGACAGAACUGUUUUUCAAAAGAAGUUGUUAUAAAAGUUCUUUUCUCUUUUAAAGAUAAAAAUGUGAAGGAUAAAGAUGAAAAGAAAUAAGAGGGUAGAGAGUAAGUUUUAAGAGAUAAAAGAUAUGAUCAAUAGGUGAAUACUCUUAAAACGAAAACUCUUUCUUCCGUAUUUUUCAAGAAUGAAAACCCCUUUUUAUAGAGAGGUCUGUGACUCUCAUUUUUAGAAAGUGAAAAUCUCUUUUUGAAAUCAGAAU